CACGUAGGGUGCGAGCGUUGUCCGGAAUUAUUGGGCGUAAAGAGCUCGUAGGCGGUGUGUCGCGUCGGCCGUGAAAACCUGCAGCUUAACUGUGGGCUUGCGGUCGAUACGGGCAUCACUGGAGUUCGGCAGGGGAGACUGGAAUUCCUGGUGUAGCGGUGAAAUGCGCAGAUAUCAGGAGGAACACCGGUGGCGAAGGCGGGUCUCGUGG
rnacentral:rRNA from 1 species